CACGUAGGGGGCGAGCGUUGUCCGGAAUCAUUGGGCGUAAAGAGCUCGUAGGCGGCUCGGUAAGUCGGGUGUGAAACCCCCAGGCUCAACCUGGGGGACGCCACCCCGAUACUGCUGUGGCUAGAGUCCAGUAGGGGAGUGUGGAAUUCCCGGUGUAGCGGUGAAAUGCGUAGAUAUCGAGAGGAACACCUGCGGCGAAGGCGGCAUCCUGGACCAACACUGACGCUGAGGAGCGAAAGCGUGGGGAGCGAACAGG
rnacentral:rRNA from 1 species